rnacentral:rRNA from 1 species
UAACGCGAAGAACCUUACCAGCCCUUGACAUGGUCGGACGGUUACCAGAGAUGGUUUCCUUCACUUCGGUGACUGACACACAGGUGCUGCAUGGCUGUCGUCAGCUCGUGUCGUGAGAUGUUGGGUUAAGUCCCGCAACGAGCGCAACCCUCGCCCUUAGUUGCCAUCAUUCAGUUGGGCACUCUAAGGGGACUGCCGGUGAUAAGCCGGAGGAAGGUGGGGAUGACGUCAAGUCUUCAUGGCCCUUACGGGCUGGGCUACACACGUGCUACAAUGGCGGUGACAGAGGGCUGCUAGGCCGCGAGGCCAUGCUAAUCCCUAAAAGCCGUCUCAGUUCGGAUUGCACUCUGCAACUCGGGUGCAUGAAGUCGGAAUCGCUAGUAAUCGCAGAUCAGCACGCUGCGGUGAAUACGUUCCCGGGUCUGUACACACCG